AUCUGGGGCGCUGGGGUGGGAUCUGGGGCACAGGGGUGAGAUCGGGCUUACAGGGGUGGGAUCUGGGGCUCUGGGGUGCUGGGGUGGGAUCUGGGUUACCAGGGGUGAGAUCGGGGGCGCUGGGGUGAGAUCUGGGUUACAGGGGUGAGAUCGGGGGCGCUGGGGUGAGAUCUGGGUUACAGGGGUGGGAUCUGGGGCUCUGGGGUGAGAUCUGGGGUGCUGGGGUGAGGUCUGGGUUACAGGGGUGAGAUCUGGGUUACAGGGGUGAGAUCUGGGGCGCUGGGGUGAGAUCUGGGGUGCUGGGGUGAGAUCUGGGGUGCUGGGGUGAGGUCUGGGUUACAGGGGUGAGAUCUGGGGCGCUGGGGCCAGCUGAAGCACGGGAGCAGGGGAAGCCUGCUGCCUUACCUGCCAUGACAGCUGGAGAGUGGCAGUUAGG
ensembl:lncRNA